GACGAACGCUGGCGGCGUGCUUAACACAUGCAAGUCGAACGAUGAACUUGGAGCUUGCUCUGGGGGAUUAGUGGCGAACGGGUGAGUAACACGUGAGUAACCUGCCCUGGACUCUGGGAUAACUUCGAGAAAUCGGAGCUAAUACCGGAUAGGACCUUGCACCGCAUGGUGUGGGGUGGAAAGUUUUUCGGUUUGGGAUGGACUCGCGGCCUAUCAGCUUGUUGGUGGGGUAAUGGCUCACCAAGGCGUCGACGGGUAGCCGGCCUGAGAGGGUGACCGGCCACACUGGGACUGAGACACGUCCCAGACUCCUACGGGAGGCAGCAGUGGAGAAUAUUGCACGAUGGGCGCAAGCCUGAUGCAGCCACGCCGCGUGCGGGAUGACGGCCUUCGGGUUUUAAACCGCUUUUAGUAGGGAAGAAGCCUUCGGGUGACGGUACCUGCAGAAAAAGGACCGGCUAACUACGUGCCAGCCGCCGCCGUAACAC
rnacentral:rRNA from 1 species